UAAAAUCAGAUUGCAGAUACAUUGGAAAACUAAGAUUAAAUUGAAAAUUCGUCCACAUACAUCAAAGGCCCAUGGGUUUGAGCAAUUACAAUAGAUUGAAUCUAAUCUGAUAAAAUCUUUCCUAAACAAAUCAAUCAGACAUAAUUUAUGACCUAAUUCUAAAUAUUAUAAAAGCCUAAGACAAAAACUAAAAAAGGACGGAAAAAAUUAGAACAAAAAACCCUAAGUUGCUGCAGAAUCCCAACCAAAACACCAAAGCUCCGAUUGAAGCAUUUAGGGUUUCACAUAGAAACCCUAAGUUGACUUGAGCAUCAACCUCUAUUCAACCACCUGGAACGUACAAAAAAAAGACAGACAAAGGGAGUCAGAGGAAGAGAAAACAAAAAGAAAAAAAAAGAAUCAGGAAAGUUGGAAAUUUUACCUUUACCAGAGAUCCUUAUCUCUAUAGGUUGGUAGACAUUGAUACUUACUCUUUUGUUGUUUCUUAGAUGAGAUGGAAUGUAUAUUAAUAUUUGUUGGUGAUUUGUGUUGUUUUAAUGUGGGUUAGGGUUUGGUUUAGGGUCAUCCAGAAGGGGCUCUAGGUUCUUAGAGUAUGAGAUUUUGUUGAUUGAUUUUCGAAUUUGAGGGUUUAAUUCAUUAGCAAAGUGUUUGAAUUUAUGGCCAGGACUCAAGUUUGGAUGGAUUUGGGUGAGGAAGGUGAGAAUUUGGGUUAGGUGAGUGGUUGGCCGAAGGACGGAGAUGAAGAUUCAUAUUCUCCAAGGUAAGGGUUCUUAGGCUGAUAGGAUUCAUGGGUUAAGGUUCAUGAGUUAGGGUUCAUGAGUUAGGGUUCUUAGAUUAUUAGGGUUCAUGGGUUUGGGUUCUUAGGUCGUUAGGAUUCUACUAGGUUUGUGUUAGGGUUCAUGGAGUUGGAUGAAGUCAAUGGUUAGGGUUCAUCAAUUGGGUAGGGUUAUAAGGGCUAAGGUUGAAUGUUUGAAGAUCUAGGUUGAACUUCAACCAGAGAUCUGAGGGUCACGAUGGUGCUAAGGAUAGAAAUAGUGGGGGAUGUUAGUCAGAAGGGAGAGCAUGGAAGUAAGAGAGAAAAGGAGUCUGAAAGAGUGAUAGGAGUGAGAGAAGAAAAGAGGAGAAAAUAAAAUGAAAAUUGGGAAAAGGGGUUUUAAUACUCCCUAGGUUGGGCGCCAGAUCAUCAACACGUGGCCCCCUGAUGGCUGCGCGAUUAGAUGACUUUGACUCAUCUAGUGUGUGUGUUCUUAUCGUCUUCCCUUUAUUGACUUCCAAUCUCAACCUUUCUUUCAGGUUACCUUGACUGGUAUGCUAAGUGGAUGUUUGUGAUGAGUUAUCAUCUGAUCUAUUGGAUUAGGAUCUAACGCCCUAGAGAGAGUCAACCUUUGACUCUCUCCCAUGGACCUAAGACCAGCGCAUUGGGCCUUUCAACUACUAGGAUUAGCACUUUUUCUAUCCCAUACCCCUCAGUUUACCAGCCCAAAGGCUUCUGCAUCCCCAACCUUAUUAUUUCUUAUUUCUCUUUUACUUCUUUCUUUUCUUUUUGAUAUUUCAGUUAGACUAUUACUUAGUUCAUUAGGGUAAUUUUUAAGGUAAAAUAGGAUUAAUUUAUGAUUAAGUGAAUUAACUUAGGAUUAGUUAUGUAAAUUUAGGUUAUUAUCUUAAUUAUAUUUUAAUUUAAGUUAGUUUUUUUCUAAAUCAUAAAAAACAAAUUUAUUUCUUUGUAAUUCACUAUUCAAAAACAACACAAAUAAUAACUAUGUAUAUACGAUGGAUUUAUUUUCUAAACUAAAUUAAAACUAUAUUUUGCAAGCUAAAUUGGUUGUGUGUCACGCCUUAUCAAUCUAUAACUCAACUCAAAAUUUAAAAUCAAUCCAAACACAUCAAAUACUCUUUUCUCCGCCCUUGUGCGUUGAGCCCUUUUUUGAAAUAAACUUUUCUGCAUCCCUGAAUGAUAUGCAUGAAUGCAUGAACGUAUGGAUGCAUGCAAAAAUGAUAUUUUUAAGUUUAUAGGGAAUCCUGGGAUUGUCAAUUGCAUAUGAGUAGACAUAAAAUUACAGAAAAUAAGACAAAAGAUAUAACCAAUAAUGGAAAAUACUCAUUUUAUUCACCGGGGAAGAACAAAGAGUACAUUAUUAAAACUCUGGGAUUUGCUCGAUGAACUACAAGAAGAUCAACUUUGAACCUCUCAAUCACAACCCUACAAAAAAAAGUGAAAGACAACCCUAGGAGUAUUGUGUGGAAGCAUGUUUGCAUAAGCUUCCUUCAGCAUGCCCGAGAGAUCUUCAAUUGUAUGGUCAACAAACCUAGCCAAGUGUGCAUGUUUAUCCCUCCAAUAUUAUGCAUAAUUUAGGAGAUUAUGCAAUAAAGUGAGGAUAGAUCCAUGUAAGAGUAUUUGUAGAAAUGAUUAUUUCUGAUCAAGGAGAACUUUGAGGUAACGACAAUGUCGCUCCCAUUAAGAAUCUUAUUUGUUGAGUUGAUUAAUAACUUCUUAACUCUAAUGUGCUUUCCCUUUCAACUCUAUGAUUUCUUCAAAAACCUUUUCGAUAUCACAUUGACAUCGGUAAAGAGAAACCUCAAGCUUCUUAGCAUUUAUUUUCUCUUUCUUCAACUGUUCUUUGAAAUCUUUCAGUUGGUCUCGAAGUUCUUUGAGUUGGCCUUCAUAGCUCUCUUCCAUCUCUUUGCGAGAUUUCAGAGUUUGCUUCCAAUUGGUUACCACUUUUCUAGCAUGACACUGAGUCUUAGCAAGUUGAUUUUUCUUUGUAGAGAGGCCAACAUAAUUUCCCUUAAGAGCUUCAUCCACCUUUCUUCGCUUGUUAUGUUCAUCUUGAGCAACCUCAACAACUUUGAGCGUAUGCUCUCUCUUCUGGUUGAGAUUGAUCUUCAAAUCUUCCUUCUCUUGAGUAAAUCUACCAAGAUCAGAUUGCAAAUUUUCAUUCUCCUUUUCCAAGAGCUUGAUAGCAUCCUUAAGCUUGUCAACUUGCGAGAUAGGAACAAUAGAAGGUAUAAGAGGCUUUAGGCUCAUGGAAAGUUCCCAAGGGUAGGGAAGUUUUACGACUUUGACUCUUUGCUUGACCCAAUAAGUGUAAGGCUCCAAAGUAAUGCAACUCUGUUUUCCAAGUUCCUUUUCCCUAAUGUGGUGGAUUUUUCCUCAUGCACAAGGUAUCUAUUUCAGCAAUUAAGGAUCAUCAACCCCUUCAGCUAACACAAAUUCUUCCAACAAUUCGUCCUCAGGUUUGUUCUCCACUAGGUAACCAAGUUGAUGCAAUGAAAGAACAAGAUUGUAGUUAAUACUUCCCUUAGUACCAAUGAUAUGCACAUUAUGAAAGUCAACAUAACUAAAUAAUUUAUAUAUCCCAUCAUAGCCAUGGUUGUACCACACUAUAUCAUCGACAUUCAAAGACAUAAACCUUUGAGACCACUUCAGAGCUCCCAUAUUAUCAACAAAAUGCCAUUUCCUUGGUAAGUGGGUCAGAAGCCACUUAUAAAGCAAAGGAACGUAGUAGUUGAUCAUCCCAACCUUCUUUUUAUUCCUCCAAUGGAAGGAAAAAUAGAUAUCGCCCAGAAGUGUGGGAACAAGAUUUCUGGAUAAGAAGAUGUUGUCAACAACCUUAUUAACGAAGCCUUCAACAUUUAGAAACAAUAUCAAACCAUAAAUGAGGAGAGAAAAGAUGGCAUAUAAAGCAUCCCAACUUCCACUAUCAGCAAAUGUGGUAUCUUUUUCAAUCAGAAACUUUGAGGGAAAUCCUCUGGUGUUGCCUUUGGUACGAAUGUUAGAUUCAACCAUUUCCUUUUUUAGAUGAAGAGCUUGAGCUAUCAGUGCAGACUCUGGAAAACCAUCCAAGAUUAUGUAUGGAACCUAAUAUUUGGUUGGAAUAUGUAAGAUAUGAUCAAACUCUUCCAAAGUAGGAGCGAAUAGGAAAUCCUAGAAGGUGAAACAGUGCAGAGUAGGAUCAUAGGACUGUGCAAAUGCGAGGAUCAAGCUAGUGUCCUCCUUAGUAAGAAGAAUACUACACAAGUUUCCACAAGUCUUCUUGAAGGCAUAUAUGUGAUCAUCAACUAAGUGAGCUCCAAUAUUCCUUAACUCAUAUAGCUUGGGUUCCCUGAGUUUGUACUAGAAAGUGUUUCUUCUGUCGGAUUUUUCUAUAACUGAAUAUUUUAGUAUUACUGGAUGAUUGUGGAUUCCUUGAAAAUCAUGUACAUGCUAAAAUGAAUUUCAUGUGGAUUAAAUGCAUACAUGUAUGCAACAUCCAUGUAUUCAAAGGUUCGUCGUAUUCUGCAUAAUCUGAAUAUACUUCUUGAUGCAGGUUCAAAGGUCCGACAUAUUCAUGAUAAUCAAGGUAUGUAGAGUUUUGGGUUUCCUGUAAACGCAUAUCCCCUCAUAGGUAGCUAAUAUUCUUCAAAGAAAGAGGUUUCUAAAAAGGUCCUUAGAGUCACAGACCCAUUUUGAGAUACCACUACCUAGAAUGAAUGACUCGUCGGACAAUGAUGCUCCCAAAAGGAUCUACUUUAGGGAUGGCGUCUCGUGUUAACGACGAUCGAGGCAUAACACCAAGGAGGUCAACAUGACUCUACCACUAACUAUCCUGUGUGUAUACUCAAGCUCGGGUAUAGAGAUUUUCUCUCAUGUAACAUCAUAAACCUCAACCCAUAACAGAGAAUAUAACAGAUAUUCAAAAUAUGAUAAAUAUAUAAAGCAAUAAAAGCAAUAAAAGCAAAGCAUGUAAGAGUAAAUAAAGAUGAAAUAAGAUAUGGAAAGUAAAAGAAUAAAGCUAAACACCAAACACACAAAUAAAACAACCAAAACUAGGCUUGACUUACUUAUGGACUCCCUAGCAGAGUCGCCAACUGUCAUGCCACGAAAAAUACCCAAGCGCAUCACACGCUUGAAAUACAAUAGAGUCACCACCAAACUUUAUUUAUUCCAAAGGAAAGGGAAAAUAUAGAUAAAACCCAGGGGGAAGAGAAAGAGGGUAAUGAAGUCGGUUAUGCAAGGGGAAUGUAUUAACACCUCUUACAUCUGUUGUACUCAACAGGAACCAUUUUGAUUGUUCUUUGGGUGGAUGGGUGUUAUUAUCUAAAGGUUACUUGCGAUUGAAUUUAAUAAAGGGGAAAAUAAUUUUAUUAAUUAAUGUGUUCGCCAAGGAUUCAAACCCUAGUUCCUAUGUAUUCUCAUAGUACAAUGAGAAAAUCAGAGCUCCAUAGUUCAUGGUAGAAAACUACGAAUUUGUUGGUUGCUUUUAGUAACAGUUAUAAUCAUAUCUUGGAAGUAGUUUGAUGUUAUCUGAUUUGAUCCUAGUUCUGAUGCUCUAAGCUUUUAGUAUGACUGCUAAGGAACAAAUUAUAACAAUUCUUUUUGAAAUGAAAGAAAUUUGUUCUUUGAAAAGGUUUAAGAUUGAAUUGAAUUGAAAAAGCUUAUGAAUGUUUGUAAAUAUUUGUGAAAUGGUGAAGGUGUUGUUUAGUAGGGUGAAAGUAUUGAACGAUAUGGUGAAAGUAUUGUUUGUACCAAGAUUGUAUUGUUUGAACCUAUAAAGUGGUGUCUGAACCAUGAAAAAGAAAUAAAAGUGGUGUUAAAAACCAAAGAGAAAAUAAAUGUGGUGUUUAAACCAAAGAUAUGGAUGUUUUAACCAAGAUGGUGAUUAACCCAAAGAGAAAAUACAAGAGUGGUGUUUAAACCAAAGAUAAAAUAAAGUGGCACUUAAACCAAAGAGAAAAAUAAGAGUGGUGUUUAAACCAAAGAGUAUGGCGUUUAACCAAUAACUGGUGAUUAUCCAAGGAGAAAACAAAAGUGGUGUUUAAACCAGGAGUGUGGUAUUUAAGCAAUAAUUGGCGAUUAGCCAAGGUAGAGUUGUAGGAUUUUUCCUAGAUCGAGAAUAAAGACCUAUAAAUAGGGGGUUUUCCUAAGCAUUGGGCCUGACAAGGAAAAUAUGCAUGAAAAGGGGUUUUAACCAUAAGAAGGUGAUUAACCCAUGCAGGAGGUAUUUAACCAAUAACUAGUGAUUAAACUCAAGUGUUGUGUGUGGUUCAGAGAUGUGUGUUUAACCUAGAGAAUGUGAUUAACCCAUGUAGGAGGUGAUUAACCAAGAGUAGGUUAUUAACCUCAAGAGUUAUGUAUAUUCAAAGAUAAUUGUGUUUGAUCGAAAGAGAAAGGUAUAAUUUAUGGGGAUUGUUGAAGUGUUGUCUGUGGGGAAGAAAGUUUGAAAGUUGUUUGAUUUGAAUUACACUAAAGUCUAUGAAUGGGGGUGAAUUCUUUGAAUAACUGGGGCAUUUGUCUCGUAUCUAAAGGUAUUCAUAACAAGGGUAGGAAAUAUCCCUCUCAUUUUUUUCCAUUGCUUAAGACUUGUGGCACACAAGUCACAUCGUAACUAACAGGUGUUUUGAAAGAGAAGAGUCUUUUUGUUUGUUUUGAAAAGGGUGAGGCAAUGUGAUUGAAUGGAUGAAGCUCGACAUGAUCAUGUCUUGAUGUUCUUCCUUCUUCAUGAUGUCCUGAAUGUGAAUGAUGAGUUGACUUUAUAGGUCAAGUUUAAUGCAAGUGUAAAAACCUAAUUAAAUCAAGUGAUCAAGGGACUUUUGGUCACUUGAAUGAAUAAGGAUCUUGAGGGGAGCAUGCCAUUGUUAAUGAAAAGUCAUACAAGUCUAAUACUAAAUGUAAUUAAUUAACCAAUAAUGAACUUGACCAACUAAUCAAGGGGAUGAACAUUCCAAGAAUCAUACACUAAACACAUGAAAAUAUGAUAAAGAAAACAAUGGAUUAAAAAUUGAAAUUAAUCAAGGUUAAUCCAAAUAUCUAAUGUGUUCCUAAUUAAAACAAAAGGGGAUUAAAUUAUAACUAAAAUGAAUCCAAUCUAAUUAAAAUAUAAUGAGAGGGAGCAUGAUGUUUUUUAUGUAUAACAAAAAAAGAAAAGGAUUAAAAGAGUAAGAAAAAAACAAUUCAAUAAUAAAUAAAUAAAACACUCUGCAGGGGGUGUAUUGCUAAAACAAUGGGUUUGAUCAGUAAAAGGCGUUCGGACUAGCAUUGAAGGCUCGUGAUUGUUUGAGUCUUGUUUCAGAGAGAGGAUGUGUGUAAGAAACCCUAGGGUGUGUGGCAGUAAAGCCCAUUGGGCUUAGUGGCUUGAAGGCCCAACGCUAAUGGGAAAAGGGUGAAUGAAUCAGAAUCAUCACCUCAUUUCAUUUUCACACUUCAACCACGCUUCUCUCCCUCUCUUAUGAAGAAUCUCAUCGAAAAUAGCUCUGCCGUGCCGGAGGCGGCUGAGCAACCCAGUUCACCCUAAAACCACCACCAAUCUGCUUGUUUCUUCCUCCUCCUUCCAUUUCUCAACUCCAAUUCACCUAGAUUUCAAAGAAAUCUCCAAACCACAAAAAAGAACACAAGAACCCUAAAACACAUAUACAAAAUUAAAUGGUCAUGGAGGGGAAUCAAAGCAAGAAACCUUGGGGCUUUAAUUCCCCUCGUCUUUCUCUACAUCUUGGCAUCACAUUUGAAGCGAAACAAAAGAGUCAAGUGAAAUAUCUUACUUGCAAGGCAGAGGUUCACCCCCUGGUGAUUGCUGAAGAUUGAAGAAGAAGAUUAUGAAGAGAAAACCAGAGAUAUUAACAGGUAUGUACUUCGAUGCUCCAACCUUUCCUUGGAAUAAUUUAUUCUUCUUCUUCUCUUGAACAUAGUCUGUAGGAACUUAAGAAUUUAUGUUGUUGCUAAUGCAUAUAGAGAGUAGAGAGUGUAGAGAGUGUGGCUUCAACUCAGUUGAAGUAAACUUUAGUGUGAAGUUUUCUCAACAACGGCGGAUUGGAGAUUUGUGUAUUGGUGAGGGAGAAGAGAGAUUGAAGAUAAAUUCAGGGUGGAGAUUCAGAGUGAGUGGUUAAAGAUGAUUGAAGAUGAAUUGGUGGUUAUAGAGACAUUGAAGUGGAAUGAGUUUGGUAACUGUUUAGGGCAGAGUUUAGGGCAGGUGAGUUGAAGGUUAGGUCAGGUGUUAGUUUGGAUGGAGAUUAGUUAAUUAGUGAGAAAAGUUGUUAGGAGGUUUAACAUUGUUAGUUUGGUGGUUAAUGAGUUGAAAAUUUAGUUAGGGUAGUUAUGAAUUGUUAUGGUUGUUAUGGAUUUGUUUAGUAGGUUAGUUGGAAUUGUUUGUUUGAAUGUUAGUGAUCUCAAAACUGUGACAGUUAGGUUAGUUAGGUAAGUGGUUAGUGAAAUAUGUUAGGUUAGUUAUUGAGUAUGUUUUGAAAUUAAAACUGUUAUGAUGUAGGUUAUGAGACUGAGUUAGAACUUCUAUGACAAUUACAAUUUGUGGUGUUAGACAGUUAGAAAUUAAUUUGUUUAGUGAAUAUCCUUUUUAAUUGUUAGUGCAAAUGUGAAAUUAUGAAUGUUGAAUUGCUUGUACUGUUAUUGUUGUUGUAUUGACUGAUAUUAGUUGGAAGCUUCAAUGAAAACUAUUAAUGAAUUCGUGUAGAAAUAAUAUUGGUUAGGAGGUUAUGUUGGAAAUGUAUGAUUGAAUUGGUUAGCUUUUAGAUAGUUCAUUGCUUGAAUUGUUAUGUGAAUUGUUUGAACUAAAUUAGUGUCUUUAGUUAAAAGUUGAUUAAUGCUAGAAGUUUAGAAAAAUAAAAGGUUAAGCUUAUGUUGUUAGCUAGUGAUGAAUCAAGUUAAUUUGUUAGUGAAUUUGGAUGGACUGUUAAAAGCAAGUGCAUUGUCAAAACAUGAUCAAAUUAGUAAUGUGGAAUUAUUAGAUGGUUAGAGUUUUGGAACUGCUAUGUCAUGUUAGUAAGCAUGUUAGUGGGAUUUAAGUGGAUUGGCUUAUGAGUUUAGUGGCAUUGGUGUGUGUUGAAUGUGUGUGUAUGUAUUGAAUGGAUGUCAUGGUUAUACUAGGUAUGAAGCAUAAUUGAGUUAUGUGAAUGUGUCCUUAUAAUUCUAAAUGGUGCAGGGCUGAAGUGCAUAUGGUGGAGUGAACAAGACUUAGAUUGAAGAUAGCAUCAUCAAGAUUG
rnacentral:lncRNA from 1 species